rnacentral:rRNA from 1 species
AAUUUUUGAGAGUUUGAUCCUGGCUCAGGAUUAACGCUAGCGGGAUGCCUAAUACAUGCAAGUCGAACGGGGUGCUUGCACCCAGUGGCGAACGGGUGAGUAACACGUAUCCAACAUACCUAUUAGUGGGGGAUAACUGGAUGAAAAUCUAGCUAAUACCGCAUAGGACAUUGUUAUCGCAUGAGAGAAUGUUUAAAGUUGCGUUUGCAACGCUUUUAGAUUGGGGUGCGGUGUAUUAGAUAGUUGGUGAGGUAACGGCUCACCAAGUCAAUGAUGCAUAGCUGUGCUGAGAGGCAGAACAGCCACAAUGGGACUGAGACACGGCCCAUACUUCUACGGAAGGCAGCAGUAGGGAAUUUUUCACAAUGGGCGAAAGCCUGAUGGAGCAAUCCCGCGUGGAUGAUGAAGGUCUUAUAUAGAUUGUAAAAUCCUUUUAUUGGAGACGAACGGCAGGAAGAGGAAAUGCUUUCUGUGUGACGGUAUCCUUUGAAUAAGUAUCGGCUAACUAUGUGCCAGCAGCCGCGGUAAUACAUAGGAUGCAAGCGUUAUUCGGAUUUACUGGGCGUAAAGAGAGCGCGGGCGGAUCUGCAAGUCUGGUGUGAAAUACAACUGCUUAACGGUUGUAUGCAUUGGAAACUGCAAAUCUAGAGUGUAGUAGAGAGUUUUGGAACUCCAUGUGGAGCGGUGGAAUGCGUAGAUAUAUGGAAGAACACCAGUGGCGAAGGCGAAAACUUGGGCUAUUACUGACGCUUAUGCUCGAAAGUGUGGGGAGCAAAUAGGAUUAGAUACCCUAGUAGUCCACACCGUAAACGAUGGUAAUUAAAUGUUGGCAUGGAAUAUGUCGGCGUUGCAGUUAACACAUUAAAUUACCCGCCUGGGUAGUACAUUCGCAAGAAUGAAACUCAAACGGAAUUGACGGGGACCCGCACAAGUGGUGGAGCAUGUUGCUUAAUUCGACAAUACACGUAAAACCUUACCUGGGUUUGACAUCCUUUGCAAAGCUAUAGAGAUAUAGUGGAGGUUAACAGAGUGACAGGUGGUGCAUGGUUGUCGUCAGCUCGUGUCGUGAGAUGUUGGGUUAAGUCCCGCAACGAGCGCAACCCUUAUUGUUAGUUACUUUAUCUAGCGAGACUGCCAGCGCAAGCUGGAGGAAGGUGGGGAUGACGUCAAAUCAUCAUGCCCCUUAUAUCCAGGGCCGCAAACGUGCUACAAUGGUCGGUACAAACUGUCGCAAACCAGUAAUGGGAAGCCAAUCAGAGAAAGCCGAUCUCAGUUCGGAUUGAGGGCUGCAAUUCGCCCUCAUGAAGUUGGAAUCACUAGUAAUCGCGAAUCAGCCAUGUCGCGGUGAAUACGUUCUCGGGUCUUGUACACACCGCCCGUCAAACUAUGAGAGCUGGUAAUACCUAAAACCGUUAAGAUAACCUCGUGAGUCUUGCGUCUAGGGUAGGACUGGUGAUUGGAGUUAAGUCGUAACAAGGUACCCCUACGGGAAUGUGGGGGUGGAUCACCUCCUUUCUAA